rnacentral:tRNA from 2 species
CAAAAAAUAGUUUAAUUAGAAUUUUAGCUUUGGGAGUUAAUGGUGGGAGUUGAAGUCUCUCUUUUUUGG